UGGGGAAUAUUGCACAAUGGACGCAAGUCUGAUGCAGCGACGCCGCGUGAGGGAUGAAGGUUCUCGGAUCGUAAACCUCUGUCAGAAGGGAAGAAACAGUAAGGGAAUAAUACCUCUUACCUUGACGGUACCUUCAAAGGAAGCACCGGCUAACUCCGUGCCAGCAGCCGCGGUAAUACGGAGGGUGCUAGCGUUAAUCGGAAUUACUGGGCGUAAAGCGCGCGUAGGCGGUACAGUAAGUUAGAGGUGAAAUCCCAGAACUCAAUUUUGGAACUGCCUUUAAGACUGCUGAACUAGAAUGUAGAAGAGGAUAGUGGAAUUUCUAGUGUAGGAGUGGAAUCUGUAGAUACUAGAAGGAACACCAGAGGCGAAGGCGACUAUCUGGUCUAUAAUUGACGCUGAGGUGCGAAAGCGUGGGUAGCAAACA
rnacentral:rRNA from 1 species